rnacentral:rRNA from 1 species
GAUGAACGCUAGCGGCAGGCCUAACACAUGCAAGUCGAGGGGCAGCACGUCUUCGGAUGGUGGCGACCGGCGCACGGGUGCGUAACGCGUAUGCAACCUACCUCUUACAGUGGGAUAGCCCAGAGAAAUUUGGAUUAAUACCGCAUAGUAUACAGAUUCAGCAUUGGGACUGUAUUAAACAUUUAUGGGUAAGAGAUGGGCAUGCGUUCUAUUAGUUAGUUGGAGUGGUAACGGCACCCCAGACAGCGAUAGAUAGGGCCCGUGAGAGGGGAGUCCCCACCACUGGUACUGAGACACGGACCAGACUCCUACGGGAGGCAGCAGUGAGGAAUAUUGGACAAUAGGGCGAGAGCCUGAUCCAGCCAUGCCGCGUGCAGGAAGACGGCCCUAUGGGUUGUAAACU